rnacentral:rRNA from 1 species
AUUGAACGCUGGCGGCAGGCCUAACACAUGCAAGUCGAACGGUAGCACAGAGAGCGUGCUCUUGGGUGACGAGUGGCGGACGGGUGAGUAAUGCCUGGGAAACUGCCCGAUGGAGGGGGAUAACUACUGGUAACGGUAGCUAAUACCGCAUAACGUCUUCGGACCAAAGUGGGGGACCUUCGGGCCUCACACCAUCGGAUGUGCCCAGAUGGGAUUAGCUAGUAGGUGGGGUAAAGGCUCACCCAGGCGACGAUCCCUAGCUGGUCUGAGAGGAUGACCAGCCACACUGGAACUGAGAACCGGUCCAGAAUCCUACGGGAGGCAGCAGUGGGGAAUAUUGCACAAUGGGCGCAAGCCUGAUGCAGCCAUGCCGCGUGUAUGAAGAAGGCCUUCGGGUUGUAAAGUACUUUCAGCGGGGAGGAAGGCGUUAAGGUUAAUAACCUUGGCGAUUGACGUUACCCGCAGAAGAAGCACCGGCUAACUCCGUGCCAGCCGCCGCAGUAA